AUGGGUGGCGGAGAAGGAUGGCGAUGCUGGUUGUGGUGGAGUGGUGGAACUGGUGGCGCUGAUGGUUGGGUGGCGCGCCGUCACGCCGGCCUGGCCGCGGCGGCGGCCGGAGGUGGAGAAGGAGGGGUGAGGGAGAGAGAGAGAUGUGCCAGGCCCGAUGGGGAAUGGAGGCGAUCUAGGGAUUUUGAUCCCCUCCCUGAUCUGCAAACUUUACACAUUAGCUCUCCUCCUUCUCUUCUUUCUUCACAAGAAGGUCCUCUCACUUCUUUAGCUAGCCCCAUGGUUACUUCUUUUCAUCUCACACAAGUAUCUUCUUCCUUCUUUUCUUUUCUUCACUCUUCUCGAUAA
rnacentral:rRNA from 1 species